CAGUAUCAUAAUCACCAAGCUGAGAGCUAAAACCAAGGAGACCUGAUCAUGGCAAAGACUAGUAUUACAACUAGAUUUCCUUUAUCUCCAAAAAUAGAUUCUCUUCUAUAUGCUGUGUUCUAAUAGCCGUGUCUCUCGUGUCUCCUGUGAUUAAAUGCUGAUGUGAGAAUAAGAUACUGUGAUGAGCGGUGCUUUGUUUGAAGACAGGAUGACUGGCACUACUGAGGUGUAGGAGUGGCUCGGAACGCCGGAGUGGCUCGGAACGCCGGCGGGAAGGAGGAGGGAAAUGCCUGGUACCUCCGUGAGGGCGGCACCGCAGCAGCAAACCCCCCUUCCCAAGGUAGCGGCCAAAAUGGGCAACUCAGUGAUAGAGGUUUGUUAAAAUGGCCAAAUCAGUGAUAGAUGUUUGCCAAAAUGGCCAAAUCAGUGAUAGAUGUUUGUUAAAAUGGCCAAAUCAGUGAUAGAUGUUUGCUAAAAUGGCCAAAUCGGUGAUAGAGGUUUGCCAAAUCAGGGCUAAAUCAGUGAUUGAUCUAUCCCAAAUCAAGCCUGUAUCCGUUACACAAAUGUCUUUGUGUUACAGGACAGGAUUGUCAAAACUGCAUUUAACAUCUGCCACAUCAUAGUUAUUACAUGGUUAUUAUUCCACAUCCAGAGGUUCAAAUAUCGGAGAAAUACAUGGUUCUGGGGUAUGUUUACUUCAUGUGGUAGAACAGUGUUUGUGCUGUCUUAUGUUAUUUACUACUUAGACACUAAUUCGUGUUUAUCGUAUCUCACUCUCAAUAGUGUACAUUGCCCAAGAAAUGGGUAAAUUAGCAGUACGGCAUGGGAAAGGACAGGCCGUGAAACAUCUAAUUGGGCAGAAACCUUUUUUCGCCCAGUUUUAAGUUUAACGAUUUAAAAAAAGUGUGUCAGCUUGUUUACAUAACAAAAUGGAUUUUGUUUAAAAGCCUAAUGUCUCUGUAGAACAACAGUGCAAUUCACACACUAGUAACUUAUGAGGCAAACUGCUUGGGUUUCGUUUACUGUACAUGUUUGAUGAAACUGACCAAGCCGGUAAAGAGCUCUGUGCCU
ensembl:lncRNA